CUCAUUUCUUGCCCGUACCGUAUUAGCUUUCAGUGAUCACGCAGACACGCACUUCUUCCUUCUCAACUCCCUCUCUAGGGUUUCUCUUUCGCUAUUUCGCUCCCUGAAACCCUAAGUAUAGCAAAAUGUCUCAUCUUUCACACGCCCAUUUUCACAAAGGCGACCAAAUUGAGGUCUUGAAGUUAGAAAAUGGUCCCAACACUCUAACGUACUAUGCGGCUGCGGUGCUACGCUCACCGGUAAAGCAAAGGACCAAGAUCCUGAUCAAGUACCAGACCCUGAUGAUCAUCGAAUCGGACUGCCAAAAAUGCGUAACGGAGCUUGUUGAUUUAGCUAGCGUUAGGCCUAUGCCGCCAAGAGAGCUUAAUAAGUGCUUCAAAAUGGGAGAUAGUGUGGAUGUGUAUUGCGAUAAUGGGUGGCAAAAAGGGACCGUUAAGGACAUACUUGAGAAUUCUAAGUAUGUUGUGGGGUUCGAUGGGAAAAGUGAGGGGAUCGUGGCUGAACAGUGCAAUUUAAGGCUUCAUCGAGAAUGGGAUGAUGGGUCCUGGGUCCCUCCUCUUCCUGAACAAAACAUGUCAUCCCCGAUGGACAUGAAAUCCAGAAAGGUAAAGCUGAAGAUAAAAUGCAGCAAAAGGCUGUCAGAGCCAAUGUUCAGAAUGGGGACAAGAGUAGAAGUCAAAAGUGACGAAGAAGGUUACAAUGGUGCUUGGUAUGGUGCAUUUGUUGUUGGCACCAUUGGAAAUGACAAAUUUAUGGUGCAGUACCAGAACCUGGUAACAGAUGAUGAAACUGCACCUUUGAGAGAAGUAGUCAAUACGGAGCAUAUCAGACCCUGCCCACCCUCAGUUCCUUCAGAUGUCCAAUUUAAACUGUUUGAGAAGGUCGAUGCUUGGUUCAAUGAAGGUUGGUGGGAAGGUGAGGUUUCAGAAGUGCUAUAUGGAUUUAAGUAUAAGGUUUAUUUCAGCUCCUCAAAUGAAACUUUGGAGUUUAACCAUUCAGGAUUGAGGCAUCAUCAAGAAUGGAACAAUGGAAAAUGGAUACAGGGGAAGUCAAUGAAAUUGAAGGGUAAUAAGACAAAUCAAAGGUUAAAGUUCUGCAAAGGGACAAUUGUGGAAGUAAAAAGUGAUGAAGUUGGUUUCCAGGGUGCUUGGUUUUCUGCAAUCAUUAUCAAGAAGAUGGGGAAUGGCAAAUUUUUGGUGCAAUAUCAGAGUCUUUUGACAGAUGAUGGAACUGAUUUUCUUACAGAAGAGGCAAGUGCUUCAGACAUAAGACCUUCUCCCCCUCAUAUUCAACAUGCCUACCCUUUCAAACUGCUUGAAAAGGUUGAUGCUUGGUACAGUGAUGGAUGGUGGUUCGGUUGCAUAAUCAAAGUUCACAAGAACAUGAAGUACACAGUCUACUUCCAGGCAACAGAGGAAUUGGAAUUUCAUCACUCUGAACUGAGGCCUCAUCAAGAGUGGAUUGAUGGACGUUGGGUCGCAUCUUCUAAGAUGUCUAAUGUCGAAUCUAUGUUUGGAAAUACUUCUUUGUGGUGCCAAUGCAACCAAAAACACUUGGUGUCUCUUUUCAGCAAUCCAUAUAAAUUUAUGUCCCAGAAUCAGGAUUGGCCGUUGUGAUUCCUGAAUGCAUGGGUCGAGUCCAAAUUGAAAGGCAUUGCUGGAAGGAGCUUUCACCUUUCAGCACCUAAUGAAGGUGAUUCUAUGUGUCUUAAGGGAUGCUAGUUUGUAGUGUUAUUCGGUGCUCUGCCUCCAAACCCUAGCAUCAAAUGUAUAUACAUUUUUCUUUUCCUCACCAUCACCAACCAAGUUACCGGGUGCAAGGCUAACUCUUCUGAACAUUGCUCUGAUGUCAUUAUGUGAAUGUCAUGUGUCAUUAUUGCAAGUUCGGCAAAGCAAUGACUGCUUGGACAGAUAAUUCUAGUUUCCCACUGG
rnacentral:misc_RNA from 1 species